GUUUUGUUAUUUGUAACAAACUCCAUAUUCGAUUCUUUCGUUGUGAUUGUGCCUGAUGAAGAAAUGUACGUAAACUAUUUUAAGAGUCUGUAUCUGCUGCUAUUUGAUUCUCUGUGUAAAGGAAUAAUAACCAACAUUAUAAAAUCAUGAUCAAUAAAUUCCCAAAUCACACCCUGUUCAGGGCAGAAGUGAAGUGAGUCAAACGGACACCGACGCACACACGGAAGUAUAAAAUUGGCACCUUGUAAUGCCGAACUAGAAAUACUUUUAAUUCAGGAUGUGAAGUCAUGAGGGAACUUUUGUGAGACGGAUAUUCACACUUAUUUUGUGAACAGCGUUUAAAGGAAACACCAACGAGAGUCUGAAGUCUGUUCAUAAAGUCCCCGUAUUUAUUCCCGGUCGUGAUGUCACUUCUUCCUAAUUUCUUACCGAUGAACCGGUCACAUAAAUCGACUUUUUAUUUUUUACCAUAAUUUAGAUCCAUAAAGCAAACACUGGAUUUUUGUGAGAGACAGUUGGUCAACUAGAGGCGGAGUUAAAUAAAUGAUUUCACUCCAAGGACCUGAUUGGUUUAUUCGACGCUGUCUUCUGUGUUGUCGGUUUUUUGUGGACACCUGAUUUAGUUUCCUGUGGUUGAUGACACACCGUCUUCGAUGCAUCACGUCAUCAUCCAUCAUAAAUAGCAAAUGGACACCAGAGACAAUUAGUAACUGUCAGUUCAGAGAAGAAUGGAGGGGAGACAAUACGUAAAUUCUCCUGCAAUGAACAAUGUGGAGGAGCAAACAACCAAUCAGCAAAGCUUAACAGGCAGAUCAAAAAUCUACAAGUUGGUGGGAGUCAGCUUUUUUCUGCUGUGCAUCAUACAGUUACUUCUCUAUGUCUUAUUCAGCAAUUGUGAUGUGUCUUGUAACAGGUCAGAAAAAAACUCAACUCGCAACUUCACCGGGAUGUCUAAUGGCGACCUGAAUGUAGAGAGAGACCGACUGGCUAUGAGGCUGAAGGAAGUGGUUGACGAGAGAGACCGACUGUCUUUAGAGAAGAAGGAAGUGGUUAAAGAAAGAGACCGACUGGUUUUAGAGAAGAAGGAAGUGGUUNNNNNNNNNNGA
ensembl:lncRNA